rnacentral:rRNA from 1 species
AUUCCAGAACCAAUAGCGUAUAUUAAAGUUGUUGCAGUUAAUUAGCUCGUUGUUGGUUUUUUUCCUUUCUUCUUCUUUUCUUCCUCUCUUUCUUUUCCUUGGCGGCUCUGUCCUUACACUUCCCAGAGACCUGUCGUGUGCUUCACUGUACGCGGCAAGGGAUUUGGGACGUUUACUUUGAAAAAAUUAGAGUGUUCAAAGCAGGCUUUUACAGCCCGAAUACAUGAGCAUGGAAUAAUGGAAUAGGACCGCGGUUCUAUUUUGUUGGUUUCUACGACCGCAGUAAUGAUUAAGAGGGACAAUUGGGGGCAUCCGUAUUUCGUUGUCAGAGGUGAAAUUCUUGGAUUUACGAAAGACGAACAACUGCGAAAGCAUUUGCCAAGAGUGUUUUCAUCA